UGAACUGAAAGAGCAAAUCGCCUACUUCAGGCGGUGGGAAGCGUAUGGAAAUUAUAUUAGAACUUCAGCAAAGUGCACAGCUGCAUAAUAGAGAAGCCGGCACUCAGAUUGACAGGCAAAUAAGCCAGCUUGUGGAAGGGGCCUCUGGGUGGCAGCUCUGGGCUUUUGGGUGUUGGACAACCAUAGGCAAAACUGAAAUGGAACAGGGGCAGAAAAUAGCACACUUUUACUCUACGCAACUGUUGCUUUUUCAUGAUCUUCAGGAAUUUUACUGGGAUAAUUGUCCAAAUAAAUUGCAAGCAUUCUAUCCAAAUGGAGCUCUUGCUGAGAUGAAGAGAACUCUCAAUGUCAAGAUCUGAACAAGAAGAGAAUGGAAUACACAAUAUGGAUAUCCAUAAAAAUUCAUCAGACAGUGUUUUACUACUGAGCUACAAAGGGAAAAACUUAAAAUGGAUAUGAAAAGUGAAGAAAGUGAUCAUAGGAGAAAACCAUUUCAGAUGACAAGAGCACCUCAAAGGCAGCAGCCUCUAGGAGCAGCCAUGGUCCCAGAGUUGUCCCACGGAUGCAGAAAACGUAAUGGAGGAGUCUGAGGUCAGAAUGGGAAAAGGUUUUAAAAAGUAAAAAGGGUAGCUAAUAUGUGAGGAACCGAUUGCUGUGCAUUAUUUUCCACUGAACAGACCUUCUUUUAACUUCUAAUCUCAAGCACAGAGCAGCUGUUGUUUUCAAUAUUAAAGAUCAGUGUUUGUUGAAUGAAUGUGUAAAUUCUUUCCCAAUCUCUGUUCCAUGAAGUAAGAACUAAGUUAGCAUUCAAUCAUAAAGAGGACAUAGAAAGUCUGCAGGCAUUUUUGAUCAAAAAUCCUUUUAACUGUCUUCUCAUGGUUCCCGGUAACACCUAAGCCCAAAAAACUCAGGUCAUUUCUUGCCUGUACUGUUGCAAUAGCCUCAUAAUAACUGGUCUUCUCCUUUAUCAACCACAGUAGUCUCCACGACAUAAAGAAGAGAGGGUGCUACAGUGUAAAUUAUUUCAAAUUGGCACCCUCCUUGUAAUUUCCCAGUGGUUUUUCCUGUCAUAAGAAUAACAUGCAAAACUCCUUGCCUGCGAAGCCAGAUAUGACCUUGCCCCUGUCUACCUUACUGCCAUCAUCUCUCAUGACUCUUCCCCUUUUUCACUCUCCAUCUUGCCUUUUCCCAGCCAUGCCUGCUAGUAAGCCUUAGCCUAUGGUCUCUCUGCCAGGGAUGCAUGACUGGCUCCUUUACUUUAUUCUGAUCUCUCUGCUCAAAUGUCAUCUUUUUAGAGAUACCUUUCCUAAACAUCUUUAAAAGCACCCCAUUCACUGUGGAACACCUUUCUUGCUUUAAGUUUUCUUCAUAGUGCUUAUCACUUCCUGAUAUUAUAUUAGACAACAAGCAAAUAAAUGUAUGCCUAUAUGCUGUUCCCACUAAAACAUAAGCUCCGUUUGAACAGGAGCCUUGAUUAUUCAUGAGUAUACCCCCAGUGCCCAGAACCUAGUAGGGCUUUAAUAAAUAUUAGGGCUUUAAUAAAUAUUAGAUUAAUUUGUUGAAUGAAAAAAUGAAUGAAUAAUUGAAUAAAGAUAUCCAGGUAGAGUGUCUGGGCAGCCCAACUUAUGUGAAGCCAGUAUAAGAAUAUUUCUGUGACAAAAUGAAUGCAAUUAUUCCUCUAAAUGAUGAAAUUGCACGAGUCCACGAGGAUAAAAUUAAGCACGUAGUUUAGAUUUCUGCUAGUCUCUUCUUCAGAUUGAGGAAAAGCAAAGAAAUUGAGCUUAUUGCCACCUCAUUCUUACAUGAACUAAAUCCAGAAUAAAACAUCAUUUAUAUACCAAACACAUGCCUACCUCAGCCACUCAUGGAAUACUUUAUCUUUAAAGGGACAGAUAGUAAAUAUUUUUGGCUUUGGGGACCGUACAGUCUGUGUCACCACUACUCAGCACUUCUGUUGAGGUGUGGAAUCAGCCCUAGACAACACAUAAACAAAUAGGUGUGGCUCUGUUCCAAUAAAAUGUUAUUUGUAAAACCAGGAAAUCGGCAGAUUUAGCCCACAGGCUGUAGUUUGCUGACCCUUGAAUUAGAGAGUCUUCCCCAAAUCCUCUUCCCAAGUUCUUGAAAGAAUGCCCAUAGGACCGUGGCUCCCUCACCUGGUUCUUUCAAGAAAUUAGACAAAUUCAGAGAUGGUUGGAGGGUGGAAUGCCUACCUGUGACUUCACUAUUUAGCCUGAUUUCUUUCCUUUUAUCUCUUUAAAGUGAGUCAGGUCUUAAUGUUAAACUGUCUCUAAAGUAGCAAUAACUGGGCCAUGUCAAAUACUCCCAAUGACAAAAUUUCUUCUUGGAGAAUGAAUGAGGGUUGCAUACAGCGGUGUGUUGGCAAAUGUUUAGCAACUGGCUCUCUUACUGAUUUCUGUAGUGUAAAUUCUCCCAUCCUGGCCAUCUGAAACUACCAGUAUGAUGUCACUUAAUGUACAGUUGGGAAAAGACAGUCUCUUGAAUCAGUAUGAGCUGGGUCCAACCCACUGCUGAACACUUAUGUAAAAGCUACAAUAGCUCUGCUCACUGCCAUUGCAAAGUCUGGAGGAAAGAGUAGUGGGCUUGAUAGGAGCAAUUGGUUGGAUAAUCUUUUGCAAUGCCAAUAAAUAAUGAAAAAGUAUAUAAAUAUGCUGUAUAGAAAGCUCUCAAGUUCAGUGUUUGGUUAAAAUACAUAUUCAGUAAAUGGUAGCUAUUAUCGUCUUAGUUUAAGUUACUGAAAGCAUUAAAAUUAAAUGUGUAGCUACAGACUCAA